GGUUUAUUUGCCAUUGUCUAGAUAUAGCAGACCAAAACUUGUUGCCGGUUCAGCAGAAGGGUAUGCGGGCCAUGUUGAUGGGAGACUACGGGAAGCAAGGAUGAACCAUCCGAAGGGAUUUACGAUGGAUGAUAGAGGAAAUAUUUAUGUCGCAGACACCAUGAACAUGGCAAUCAGGAAAAUCAGUGACACUGGGGUUACAACUAUCGCCGGGGGA
rnacentral:misc_RNA from 1 species